GGUAAGGGAGGAGGUGGUAGUAAAGAAACCUUUAGACUGAAAAAUGUAAAGAUACAAUAUGAAAGGAGAAAAAAAACAACAAAAGAACCCACCAUGGAAGUUUCAACCCACCACCACCACAUGGUGCCAAAAACUUCAAAAUGGAACAUUUCUUAUAUUGGCACAUAUUUUUGUGAGAACAAACAUAUGGUUGUGAGCAUAUUCUUACCUUCAUUGUGAUCUGCAUAUUUCCUCUCUGCAGGAAAAUUUAAAUGCACUGUUGACAUCGUUUUAUAGUCACAUAAGAAGAAAGCAGGCAAAGAAAUGUUAUGAUUGGACUUAUUCAUGAGAUACCACAGUCUCUAAUAUAUGAAGUUUUUCAUAUUUACACUACUGGUGAAUCUCUAGUUGUAUACCUGCCUCUGUGGUCUCAUUGUUGGUCCCUAGGAUAGCUUAUAAAUAAAAACAGAUGAUACUGUCUACUGGCCAGAACAAGCUCACAACUCACUUUCUACUCCAUUCUCAAGGGACUAUGUAGAGAAAGAUGGAUGGUUGAGGUCAGGAUUUGGAGUUCUCUGGCUAACUGCAUAUUAACUUUGUUAUCAUCGCCAAUAUUAUCACCUGACAGAGAAACAGACUUGAUGGAUUUGGGCUUUAGCCCUGACUUCAUCACAAAUAAACAGUGUCAUCUUGGAUGCUA
rnacentral:lncRNA from 1 species